UUAUGCACUCAUCUGGAUACGUAUCACAAUCGGUGAUGCAUCGAAAGCGCUGCCAAGACAUCCAACCCAUGGGUGGUGUCAAAGCCAAGCA